rnacentral:rRNA from 1 species
UCCCGCCUGCCCAGUGACUCUUUAAACGGCCGCGGUAUCCUAACCGUGCAAAGGUAGCAUAAUCACUUGUCCCCUAAAUAGGGACUAGAAUGAACGGCUAAAUGAGGACAAAACUGUCUCUUACGGACCAACCAAUGAAAUUGAUCUUCCAGUACAAAAGCUGGAAUAAACCCAUAAGACGAGAAGACCCUGUGGAGCUUUAAAACCAAAACCACCAAACAUGUUUCUUGGUUUUUUAGUUGGGGCGACUUUGGAGAAAAAAUAAUCCUCCAAACUAUAAACCCAUUUAUUAAGAAUAACACAUCAAAAAUAAUUAAAUAGACCCAGCAACACUAUGUUGUCUGACCAAUGAACCAAGUUACCCCAGGGAUAACAGCGCCAUCCUCUUCUAGAGUCCCUAUCGACAAGGGGGUUUACGACCUCGAUGUUGGAUCAGGACACCCCUAUAGUGCAGCCGCUUUAAAAGGUUCGUUUGUUCAACGAUUAAAGUCCUACGUGAUCU